rnacentral:rRNA from 1 species
GAUGAACGCUGGCGGCGUGCCUAACACAUGCAAGUCGAGCGGAGAGAGACGAGUAUUCGUACAAAUCUCUCUUAGCGGCGGACGGGUGAGUAACACGUGAGUAACCUGCCUUCUUCUGGGGAAUAACACAGAGAAAUUUGUGCUAAUACCGCAUAAAGUCACGACUGGGCAUCCAGAUGUGACCAAAGGAGCAAUCCGGAGGAAGAUGGACUCGCGUCCGAUUAGGUAGUUGGUGAGGUAACGGCCCACCAAGCCUACGAUCGGUAGCCGAACUGAGAGGUUGAUCGGCCACAUUGGGACUGAGACACGGCCCAGACUCCUACGGGAGGCAGCAGUGGGGAAUAUUGGGCAAUGGGGGAAACCCUGACCCAGCAACGCCGCGUGAAGGACGAAGGCCUUCGGGUUGUAAACUUCUUUGAUCAGGGACGAAACAAAUGACGGUACCUGAGGAACAAGCCACGGCUAACUACGUGCCAGCAGCCGCGGUAAAACGUAGACGUG